GAUGAACGCUAGCGGCAGGCUUAACACAUGCGAGUCGAGGGGCAGCGGGUUUGUAGCAAUACAGAUGCCGGCGACCGGUACAAGGGUGCGUAACGCGUGAGCGACAUGCCCGUCUCAGGGGGAUAAUCCGGAGAAAUCCGGUCUAAUACCCCAUGGUCCCGUUGGGAUGCAUGUCCUGAUGGGUAAAGAUACGUCGGAGACGGAUUGGCUCGCGUGACAUUAGCUGGACGGCGGGGUAACGGCCCACCGUGGCUACGAUGUCUAGGGGAACUGAGAGGUUGGUCCCCCACACUGGAACUGAGACACGGUCCAGACUCCUACGGGAGGCAGCAGUGAGGAAUAUUGGACAAUGGGCGGAAGCCUGAUCCAGCCAUGCCGCGUGAAGGAUUACGGUCCUAUGGAUUUUAAACUUCUUUUGCACGGGAGCAAUAAGGGUCACGCGUGGCCCGAUGAGAGUACCGUGCGAAUAAGCAUCGGCUAACUCCGUGCCAGCAGCCGCGGUAAUACGGAGGAUGCGAGCGUUAUCCGGAUUCAUUGGGUUUAAAGGGUGCGUAGGCGGUGGCGUAAGUCAGCGGUGAAAUUCACGGGCUCAACCCGUGCCGUGCCGUUGAUACUGCGUUGCUGGAGUACUGUCGCCGUGGGAGGAAUGUGUGGUGUAGCGGUGAAAUGCAUAGAUAUCACACAGAACACCGAUUGCGAAGGCAUCUCACGAGGCAGGGACUGACGCUGAUGCACGAAAGUGCGGGGAUCAAACAGGAUUAGAUACCCUGGUAGUCCGCACAGUAAACGAUGAUGACUAGCUGUCGGCGAUAGACAGUCGGUGGCUAAGCGAAAGCGAUAAGUCAUCCACCUGGGGAGUACGACCGCAAGGUUGAAACUCAAAGGAAUUGACGGGGGCCCGCACAAGCGGAGGAACAUGUGGUUUAAUUCGAUGAUACGCGAGGAACCUUACCCGGGCUCGAACGGUGCAGGAAGCCUUCAGAGAUGGAGGCGCUCUUCGGAGCCUGUAUCGAGGUGCUGCAUGGUUGUCGUCAGCUCGUGCCGUGAGGUGUCGGCUUAAGUGCCAUAACGAGCGCAACCCUUGCUGACAGUUGCCAUCAGGUAAAGCUGGGGACUCUGUCGGGACUGCCACCGUAAGGUGUGAGGAAGGGGGGGAUGACGUCAAAUCAGCACGGCCCUUAUGUCCGGGGCGACACACGUGUUACAAUGGUGGGUACAGCGGGAAGCUACGCGGCGACGCGGUGCAAAUCUCGAAAACCCAUCCCAGUUCGGAUCGGAGUCUGCAACCCGACUCCGUGAAGUUGGAUUCGCUAGUAAUCGCGCAUCAGCCAUGGCGCGGUGAAUACGUUCCCGGGCCUUGUACACACCGCCCGUCAAGCCAUGGAAGCCGGGGGUGCCUGAAGUCCGUUACCGCAAGGAUCGGCCUAGGGCAAAACUGGUAACUGGGG
rnacentral:rRNA from 1 species